GAUUUCUGGUUUGGCGCGCCGCUCCCGGCUCCGCUCGGAGACGUGUGGGUUGUGUGCGCCUUCCAUCCUUCUAGUUAACCGUCAGAACUUCACUGGGCUGGCGGCGAUCUAGAUCUUUUACUUUGAAAAAAUUAGAGUGUUUCAAGCAGGCUUUAUGCUAUGAAUACAUUAGCAUGGAAUAAUAAUUUAGGACUUCGGUUCUAUUUUGUUGGUUUCUAGGACUGAAGUAAUGAUUGAUAGGGAUAGUUGGGGGUGCUAGUAUUCAGCGGCCAGAGGUGAAAUUCUCGGAUUCGCUGAAGACUAACUUAUGCGAAAGCAUU
rnacentral:rRNA from 1 species